UGGCGGACGGGGGAGUAAUGUCUGGGAAACUGCCUGAUGGAGGGGGGUAACUACUGGAAACGGUAGCUAAUACCGCAUAACGUCGCAAGACCAAAGAGGGGGACCUUAGGGCCUCUUGCCAUCGGAUGUGCCCAAAUGGGAUUAGCUAGUAGGUGGGGUAACGGCUCACCUAGGCGACGAUCCCUAGCUGGUCUGAGAGGAUGACCAGCCACACUGGAACUGAGACACGGUCCAG
rnacentral:rRNA from 1 species